rnacentral:rRNA from 1 species
GUCUACAGCAGCAUCACCUUAGAAAAGCUUCCCCCUAUCUGAUUGGGGAAGCUAAGCAGGGUUGGGCUCAGUUCAUACUUGGAGGGGAGACUGACUGGGUGCUGUUGGCU